rnacentral:rRNA from 1 species
UGGGGAAUAUUGCGCAAUGGGGGGAACCCUGACGCAGCCAUGCCGCGUGAAUGAAGAAGGCCUUAGGGUUGUAAAGUUCUUUCGGUAUUGAGGAAGGUUGAUGUGUUAAUAGCACAUCAAAUUGACGUUAAAUACAGAAGAAGCACCGGCUAACUCCGUGCCAGCAGCCGCGGUAAUACGGGGGGUGCGAGCGUUAAUCGGAAUAACUGGGCGUAAAGGGCACGCAGGCGGUUAUUUAAGUGAGGUGUGAAAGCCCCGGGCUUAACCUGGGAAUUGCAUUUCAGACUGGGUAACUAGAGUACUUUAGGGAGGGGUAGAAUUCCACGUGUAGCGGUGAAAUGCGUAGAGAUGUGGAGGAAUACCGAAGGCGAAGGCAGCCCCUUGGGAAUGUACUGACGCUCAUGUGCGAAAGCGUGGGGAGCAAACAGGAUUAGAUACCCUGGUAGUCCACGCUGUAAACGCUGUCGAUUUGGGGGUUGGGGUUUAACUCUGGCGCCCGUAGCUAACGUGAUAAAUCGACCGCCUGGGGAGUACGGCCGCAAGGUUA